UGCCUUACAAGCAGUUGUAAGGGUGGGAGAUUGUUGUCAACAGUUCAACCAAUAAAUCGAAAUCGAAAGUUGG
ncrna:unclassified sequences RT-6 RNA